GCCAGAGUGUCUCCGGCCACGCUGCUCUCCCCGCAGCCUCCAAAGCAGCUGCAGCUCCGGGGUUGGCAGGCUGCGGCCGUGCCACCUGGGGCAGCUGUGGCCAGGCCAGAGACAUCCUCCCCUGGCCCACCCCAGGUGUGUACCAGAUAUCACCCUUGUACAAACUUGGUUCAAUUCCACCCAGGACCUGAAGAGAGAAAAUCACUGACAGAUACCCACAAGACUACCUCCGUUGGUACCACUUCCAGGAACAGGCAUUCCAGCACCACACAUUUGCAGGGAGAAAACGUUGGGAAUCUUUGCUUGACUCACAAGGGAAUCAAAGAAUGUCUCCACCGA